CAGCCGCCGCGGGAAUACGGAGGGGGCUAGCGUUGUUCGGAAUUACUGGGCGUAAAGCGCACGUAGGCGGCUUUGUAAGUUAGAGGUGAAAGCCCGGAGCUCAACUCCGGAAUUGCCUUUAAGACUGCAGAGCUAGCAGGUGAGAGAGGUGAGUGGAAUUCCGAGUGUAGAGGUGAAAUUCGUAGAUAUUCGGAAGAACACCAGUGGCGAAGGCGGCUCACUGGCUCAUACUGGACGCUGAGGUGCGAAAGCGUGGGGAGCAAACAGGAUUAGAGACCCCGGUAGUCCCUGUCUCUUAUAC
rnacentral:rRNA from 1 species